GACAGAGGAGCCAAGCGUUGUCCGGACUGACUGGGCGUAAAGCGCACGCAGGCGGCGCUGCGCGUGGGGUGUGAAAGCUCUUGGCUUAACUGAGAGAGGCCAUCCCAUACGGCAGUGCUCGAGCGGUGCAGAGGUCCGCGGAAUUGCCGGUGUAGUGGUGAAAUGCGUAGAGAUCGGCAGGAACACCCAGGGGGAAACCAGCGGACUGGGCAUCAACUGACGCUCAGGUGCGACAGCGUGGGGAGCGAACCGGG
rnacentral:rRNA from 1 species